CCCUAGCCCGGAUUGAACGGUAUGUUUGAGCUCUUUUUGCAUAAAAGGAGUAGCUUGGUGCAAAAAAGCGAGUAGUGAAAGCCGGAUUAAGC
rnacentral:misc_RNA from 1 species